GGUUUCCCUUUACGAAUUGUAGUUUAAAGAAGUGUUUUCUGUUGAGGUUUUGGUAAAAGUUCUUUGGAAUAGGACAUCAUAGAGGGUGAGAAUCCCGUAUUUGACCUUUACUUUCAACUUUGUGAUACACUUUCAAAGAGUCGGAUUGUUUGGGAAUGCAGUCCAAAAUGGGUGGUAAAUUUCAUCUAAAGCUAAAUAUUGGCGAGAGACCGAUAGCGAACAAGUACCGUGAGGGAAAGAUGAAAAGAACUUUGAAAAGAGAGUUAAACAGUACGUGAAAUUGUCAAAAGGGAAGCGUUUGACACCAGUGUUGUUUUUCUGAAAAUCAAUUAAAGAACUGUUUAUGCUAAGCUGUUUAGACUUUAUCAGCUAUCUGUUUAGUUUUGAGCUUUUCUUU
rnacentral:rRNA from 1 species